CAGGCCUAACCAUGCAAGUCGAACGAGAAGCCACCUUCGGGUGGUGGACAGUGGCAGACGGUGAGUAACGCGUGGGAACGUGCCUUUCGGUUCGGGAUAACCCAGGGAACUUGGGCUAAUACCGGAUACGCCCUUCGGGGGAAAGAUUCAUCGCCGAAGAUCGGCCCGCGUCGGAUUAGCUUGUUGGUGGGGUAGGGGCCUACCAAGCGACGAUCCGUAGCUGGUCUGAGAGGAUGACCAGCCACACUGGGACUGGACACGGCCCAGACUCCUACGGGAGGCAGCAGUGGGGAAUAUUGGACAAGGGCGAAAGCCUGAUCCAGGCCAUGCCGAGUGGGUGAAGAAGGCCUUAGGUUGUAAACCCCUUUCAGCGGGGAAGAUAAUGACGGUACCCGCAGAA
rnacentral:rRNA from 1 species